rnacentral:rRNA from 1 species
GUCGUAACAAGGUUUCCGUAGGUGAACCUGCGGAAGGAUCAUUAUCGUUCCUUCACCCGCACUUUGCGUACUGUUGAUUGUUUGUUCUUUUGACACUUUGUGGCUUGGUGGGGUGUGUGUGGUGAGAGAUCACUGCCGCACUACAUCGACCACAUCGUCGCACCCUGCUUCGGCAGCUUCGUGAGCAUUGCGCGCCAUGAAUGGUUGUGCAAUGCUUCUCCCCUAUGACUCUCGCGCUUGUGCGCUUGAGCGUAUCUCUAAAAUACACAACUCUUGUCGAUGGAUAUCUUGGCAUGAACAACGAUGAAGAACGCAGCGAAAUGCGAUACGUAGUGCGAAUUGCAGAAUUCAGUGAAUCAUCGAAACUUUGAACGCAAAUGGCACUUUCAGCUUCCGGCUGGAAGUACAUUUCCUCCAGUGGCGCCACCAACCCCCUCGGGAGCGGUUCCCCCGCUUGUCCGGAUCGUGGUCGCUGCGCUUCCUCGUCGGAGCGCGCCGACUCAAGUGGCGAGCGCUGCGACUGUCUGCGUGCGGGCGUGUGUCUGUCUCUCAUUUUUUGAUAGAUGGGAGCACGUUCGGCCAAUGUGCUAGGUAAGGUGAUUUCAUCUGUCUUACAAGUCAUUGGUUGGAGCGCGGGUGGUCGUGCGCGGGGUUGCGAGAGUGUUGGUACUCUCUCGCGUCCCUGACAGUAUUUACUACCCACAUCCCGCCAUGGAGUGACGUGAGGCUACCCGCUGAACUUAAGCAUAUCACUAAGCGGAGGAGAAGAAAACAACCGUGAUGCCCCUAGUAAUGGCGAAUGAAGCGGGCAGAGCUCACGCCGCCAAUCUGGAGGCCCUCGCGGCCCCCCGAAUUGUAGUCUAGAAAGGCGCCAUCGGCCGCGUCCGUCGCUCAAAUCCCUUGGAACAGGGUAUCGGAGAAGGUGAGAGUCCUGUACCGUGUCGGAUCGCGGCCGCACGAUGCGUUUUUGCAGAGUCGGGUUGCUUGGGAUUGCAGCUUGAAUUGGGUGGUAAAUUCCAUCUAAAGCUAAAUACUGGUUCAUGACCGAUAGCGAACAAGUACCGUGAGGGAAAGAUGCAAAGAACUUUGAAAAGAGAGUUAAAGAGUGCUUGAAAUCGGCAAGAGGAAACCCGUAUGUGCCCGGUUUCGCUUGGUCAAUUCAGCCGUGUUCAUCGGUGCACUUUGACUGAGCGGGUCAUCCGCGCUUGUGCGUGCGUGAUAAACGCCUGGGGGGCUUCGGUGAGCCAGGUUUUGUGCGCGCGUGCGAGUCCGGCUGACGGAACGGGCACAUCCGACCCGUCUAGAAACACGGACCAAGGAGUCUGACACGGAUGCGAGUACCCGGGUGAUAAGCCCGCGUGCGCAAUGAAAGUAAAGGGCGUGCCCCGCCAACCGACCUUGAUCUUCUGUGAAGGGUUUGAGUCGAGCAUCACUGUCGGGACCCGAAAGAUGGUGAACUAUGCGUGA